rnacentral:lncRNA from 1 species
UUUCACUCAGUGCUCUACCGUGAAUGCCAUAUACAUCCAUUUCUUGCGUGGAGAGUUUAAGGAGUUUCAAGACGACGUCAUCUUGCCUGCGAUGCCUCCGUUGAAAGGUAGUGACCUGCCGGUGUUUCUGUACGACAAUAAUCUUUGCCGACCGUUGUUUGAGCUCACUUGUAGCCAGUUUAAGAAUGUUGACGACAUUGACUUCUUCUUGGUUAACUCUUUCGACGAACUCGAAGUUGAGGUAACUAUUCUUUAUCUUUAGACUUUUUUUAAUUAGUUAUUUGCAAAAUGAAAUCCAAAAAUAAAUAUUUCCAAGUGAUAUACAUAAUGGUGGAUGGGUGCAUACUAUCCAGCCGAAUCACUGACUCAGUACACAUCAAGUAAAAUAUAAAAAUGUAGACUUGGUAGCCAGGGAUGCUAUCCUACCAAAUCACUGUCUCAGUACUUGAUGUAAAUUGUAAUAUUUCCACGUAAUAUACAUAAUGGUAGAUGGUGCAUGCUAUCCUGCCGAAUCACUGACAGUACUUGAUGUGAACCAUAUAUAAAAUGAAAAUAAAGCCACUGCAAUAUUUAAGCCACAGCAAAAUUUAGGUAUUUUGCGAAUUUAUAUAGUUGUAGCUGUAGUCUUGGUAGGUUCAUAUUUUAUCAUUACAUAAUAGGAAAAGACGAGAAGAAAAACAGACGACAAAAAGACAUUCAGAAAGAUAUAUAUCAAUUAGUUGGGCGAACAUGCAUCCCAAGGUGCAGAUUAUCUGUAGCUUAUCUUAUGGCCAAAGGAUCUCCAAAAGAGUCACUAAAAAAUGUUUCAGUAUUAUUUUAAUAUAUAGCGAGUAAGGUAAAAGGAAAAUUUAAUAGAUUUAUUAGGUGAUUAACCGCGCUACACCGCAGAAUUUUUUUUAUGAUAUACCACUAUGUCGAGUUAUUUGAAUUUUUCUUUGGUUAACUUCCUAAGGUUACUUUUAGAUUUACCAACCAAUAAAAUUUAAUUAUUUAAGAUUCAAUAUUUUUUUUAAAAGAAACAAAAUAAUAAAAAUUUGUCAAGUUAUAUUUUGCUUUUAAAAUAAAUAAAAAUAGUAAUAAUUACCAAUUUUUUUAAUAUUGUUAACACCGUCAAAAAAACACUAAACACUAAACCCUUGGAUAAAAUCUAAACCAUUAGAUAAAUCCUAAACUCUAAAUCAUAAACAUUAAAACUAAAUCUUAAAAAAACUAAAUCCUAAAUCCUAAACCUUGAACCCUUGGGUAAAUCCUAAACUCCAAGAGUUCAGGGUUUACUCAAGAAUUUAGGGUUUAGUGUUUAAGAUUUAGAGUUUUUAAGAUUUAGUUUUUAAUGUUUAUGAUUUAGGGUUUAUGAUUUACCAAAUGAUUUAAAGUUUAUUCAAGGGUUUAGAGUUUAAGAUUUAGGGUCUAGGGUUUAAUGUUUUGUUGAUAGCGUUAACAAUAUUAAAAAUAUUUUUUUUGGUAAUUAUUAUUUAUUUUAAAAUCAUAAUACAACUAACAAAUUCUUAAUAUUUUUUUUUUAAAGAUAUUAAAUCUGAAACAAAAAAAUUAUAUUGGUUGGUAAACCUACAAAUUUACCCAAGAAAAACUCGAGUUAUUUUGGUCGAGUGAUAAACUUCCAAAGUUGAAUGACUCAUUUAGUUAUUCUUCUUUUCAUGUCGACAACUUGUUCCUUUUUACCGAGAUAUGGAUGUGUUUCCUUUUUCCAAUUCUUCUUUUGACAUUUACAUGAAACUCAUAUAUUGUUUUGGUUUACGUCAUUGUACUAAAAGAUUAUUUAAAACAAUAUGUUUCUCACUCGUUGAUUGUUCAUGAUACCAAAUAUAAAUAACCGUGGCGUGAAAUGGGUUUUAAAUUCACAAUUCUUAUGUGUUUACACGUUAAUUAGAGAUGUGUAACUGUUGUGGCCUUGAUUUUAAUAUUCCAUUUGGUCAUUCUUUCUCUGAAAAGUAUAGUAAGACACUUUCUUUCUUAUAAAGAAAAUCUAAGUCACAAAGUAUUUAAAAAGAACAAAUAAUAUCAACUUCUCAGAUUCAUAUAAACUCAUCACGCUUAUAAAUAAAGCAAUCAUAAACUCUUACUGAUGACUAUUAGGAACAUCUGUUGGAAGUCUUAGAGAUAAACAUCAGCUAUUUUUAAACAUAUUCUUCAGCCAUCUUUCACGAUCCCAAAUGUCAAUUUCGUGUAACAUAGCGGAGUCAAAACCCAUAUACAUCGUCGAUAUCUAGUCGUUGAUUUUUCCCCAAAUCUUUACAUUUCCACCAACGAUAUGGUCUGGUCAAAAUUAGAUUCAAGUCCACUUUAGCUAAAUGGUAAACUCAUAAUCAACAUAAAUAUAGUCACCAACAUAAACAAGCCUGAUCAGAUGGAAAAAAAAUAUUUUGUUCUCCAAAUUUCCUCAGCAUUGUUGCCGGAAGGUUUAAUAGAGAAACAUCGACGUAGAAAAUCAAACUGAUCUGGUGAAGUGACGCAAAAAAAAAAUAGUGACAACCAUUUUCCUUUUAGUUGUAUUGUUUCUAAUGCCUUCAGUUACCUGUCAUUCGAUUCCAUACAGAAAAAAAAAACUCUUUUAUUUAACACUGCCAUCGCAACCACUAUAACAGGGGCGAAAAAAUGAGAAAAAUCAAGCAACUUUUUGUUCCGUUAAGAACAAAGCUAUUUCUUUCAUUGGCUUUUUGUUCAUGAAGAAGUGAUCUCAUGUUACCUAGAAAGUGGAAACCAUUUUUUUAUGAGCUUUCUUGUUCUUGAGAAUACCAUAUUUUAGGGAUCUCUACGAUGAUGCAUUUUUGAAAAGUAUCAUAUAAAUUCUCAGAUUUCAGUUGGAUAUUAAAUAAUUGGAGAAGAUGGAAGAUGAUAAGCAAAACAAUGAAGAUGAAAGAAAAAUAGAAAUAUAACAAACUCACUUAAUGAUCCUAAGACCCAUCAUAGCUCUUUAAAGAUCUUUGCAUCUGUGUCGUCUUAGUGACUCCGUCUUCGCUUGCAUGAGAGGAAGAAAGCGCUUUGGGAUCAUCAGCAUUAUUAAACACAUAUUUUUUGACGAAAUAAAAAAUAUGGAAAAACAGGUGGACAAUAACAAUUUUAUGAUGUGUAUGAAUAAAAUGUUUUGAUUGGUACUUCAACUUUUUUAAAUUGACGUGGCAACUCUUCAAUACUUUAGAAAACUGAUGUGUCAUUCUCUGGAGAGAGUCUUGUGUUAUUAUUGUGUUGAUUGUAAUAAUGUCGGUAAUUUUAUAUUUUGUUCAAUUUUUAAUUUAUUCUAUAGUUUAAUUAUGUCAUAUAUUCAGUUAUUUAUAAAUACCCACAAACUAUUUCUAUUCCAAAAACAAAUAUUCCUUCAAAUUUUAAUAGAUGUAUUUUACCGAAUUUUUGUUUUAUAUUAGAUAUUUGAAAAAAAAAUUAAUGUAAAAUUUACUAAUUUUUAUAUUUAUAAUUGAUUUUUAUUAGUUAAAUUGUGAUUAAAUAAAAAAUAGUUUUAUUUAAUUUUAGAAAAUGCACAAUUUUAAAAUGUCAGAUAACAGAAAAAACAGAUGAAGUAUUUCUGUUUUUUUUUUUCUUUUGAACAACACAGAUGAAGUAUCUCUGUUGAAGCUGCAAAUGAGCCACAAAACGAUCAAAAUAUACGUGUCAUGUAGAAUCCUUUUAGUGCUCAUCCGAGAUUAGACAUGUGUCUAUCUUCCUAGCUAGUUCCUAGUGGCUAUAAUCAAAUUUUGCAUAUAAAUGUUUUAUUAAGGUAUAUAUAAUUUACAGGUUAAUUAGUUUUCUCCCACCGUUAUAACCCAAAUUAUAGACUUUGGGACUCUGUUUUAAGAUAUUUUAGGUCCUCCACAUACAGACGCCAGAGUCCAGACUUUUCUGUUUGGUUCAUGAUAACAAACGUUUUAGUCCAGUUUGGUUGACACAUUGACACGAACGUUAGAUUAUGAAUUAAUGUACUUAGUGUAUACGCAAUCAAGCUAUGCUAACAUUUCUUUUAAUCCAUGUAUUUACUAUGAUAUUUUCUUUUAUUCUCAGGUGCUAGAAUGGAUGAAGAACCAAUGGCCUGUCAAGAACAUAGGACCAAUGAUUCCAUCAAUGUACUUAGACAAACGUUUAGCAGGCGACAAAGACUAUGGAAUCAGUCUCUUCAAUGCUCAAGUCAAUGAGUGCCUUGAUUGGCUUGACUCAAAACCGCCUGGUUCAGUGAUUUAUGUCUCCUUCGGAAGCUUAGCGGUUCUAAAAGACGAUCAAAUGAUCGAACUUGCUGCCGGUCUAAAACAAACCGGCCAUAAUUUCUUAUGGGCGGUUAGAGAAACGGAGACAAAGAAGCUCCCAAACAAUUACAUAGAGGAAAUUGGCGAGAGAGGACUGAUAGUGAAUUGGAGUCCUCAGCUACAGGUUCUUGCGCAUAAAUCGACUGGUUGUUUCAUGACGCAUUGCGGGUGGAAUUCAACUCUAGAGGCAUUGAGCAUAGGAGUUGCUUUGAUUGGAAUGCCGGCUUACAGCGAUCAGCCGACUAAUGCUAAGUUUAUAGAAGAUGUGUGGAAGGUUGGAGUUAGGGUUAAGGCAGAUAAAGAUGGGUUUGUGACAAAAGAAGAGAUUGUGAGAUGUGCUGGAGAAGUUAUGGAUGAGACGUCAGAGAAGAAAGAGACUAGGAAGAAUGCUUUGAGAUUGAUGGAGUUUGCAAAAGAAGCUUUGGCUGAAGGAGGAAACUCUGAUAAGAAUAUUGUUGAGUUUGUUGCUAAAAUUGCUAGGUAAACUGAUAGUAAUAAUGUAAUUUGUGUUGUUGUUGUUGUGUUGGAGUUGGUUUUGGUCUGAACAACGUGAAAAUAAUUGGAGCCGGAGCAAGUUUGGUGAUUGAAAAAUACAGAAACUAAGAAGUUAAGUUUUAUGCAUUUUUGAGUGCGUCAGCGGGGAAGAUGAGAAGAAAACUGGUAUGUCAUGUCACCUCGUCUCUCAAUACAAACGAACAGAGCCAAAGGGCAACUAGAGUUAUUCAUUUCGAGAGAAUGCAUGUACUAUUAUUAUUCUUCUUCUUUUUGGAUAAAGGUUUCAUACAUGAUACGUACAUCAACAUUAGUUUCAAAUUCAUAAUGAAGUUCGUAAACAAUAAUCGUGUGCUCUUUUAUUAUUGUUUUUCUUCUUUUUGGUAUUUUGGAAGCACUUAGGGCAUGAUUAACCCCGGAUCUCUUAGCCGGGGUUUUUAACUUAUGAUUUGAUAUAUAUAUAUAUUUUUUUUGUUUUACACUUUUCGGCUAAAAAAAACGAUUCUUAGACCAUUUCCAUCGGUGAUCCUAACAAGGGGUUCUUAAUGAAAAGCAAAAAAAAAAAAAAAUCAAAAUACCUAAAUACAAGAGAACCGGGUCUUGAUUGGGGGGGGAGGGGUUUAGGAUUGGUUAGGAACCUUAUGUGUCAGUAUCCUAUUCGCCCACCCUUUGAUUUUUCUUUCUCUCCUUCGCGUCGCGGUAAUGAAGGUGGAAGAUGAUCAAAGUCUAGAAAUUGUACGGAACUGAAACCUGAGGAGAAGAAUCUGUAACGAUCAGACACAACAAAAUAUAUCUUAGAAAAGAGAUUGAGAAAGGAGCUGAGUUAAUGUACGAUGAUCAAAGACCAAAUAAAGGGUUGAAAAAACAAGAGAUCUGAUUUUUUGUCUGAUCACAUCUCCAUGUUUAGACAAAAAAAAACUCACUGGAUGAUAAACAAAAUCUCAGUGAAGACAAUGCGAGAGAGAUGAUUGUUUACCAAUGAGUUUGAAUAAGCAAGAUUAACAUAUAAAAUCACCAAUCGGCAAAAGGUGAUGAAGGGAGAUUAAAAUAAAAUUAGAGAAAUUAGGAGCUACACCAAAUAAGUUUGACAUAUUUAGUUAUCUGCCAAAUUGAACUGUUCGCGGAAUGAGUGUGAUGUUUUUGGACUCUUCUACCCCUACUCACACUGCCAUGUAAAAUACUAUGGCUGGGCAAAAAAUCCGAAUCCGAAGAACCGAACCGAACCCGAUCCGAAAAUGUAGUACCGAAUCCGAACCGAAAUUGAUUAAAUAUCCGAACGGGUUCAAAAUUUUGGUAUCUAGAGAACCGAAACCGAACCCGACCCGAACCGAAGUAUUUCGGGUACCCGAAUGUAUCCGAAAUAGAUUUAUAUAUCUAAAUAUAUUAAUUAUUUUUAGAUUCAAUGUAUAUUAAAAACAUUCAAAAUAUAUAAGAUACUUUUAAGUUGUCUAAAAUACUUGAAAAUAUAUACAAAUAUUCAAAAGUAAAUUUCUAAAAUAGUAUAAAAUAUACUCAAAACACCAAAAAUAGUUGAAAUGUCUACUGAUUGUCUAUCAAAAUAUUCAAACAAACCAAUUUAUAUGUUAAGUUUAGGUACUCUGACAUAUGUUAUUCAAGUUUAUAUGUUAUAUAGUAUUUUAUUUACAGAUUUUGAGAAAUUGAAACUAUAUAUUGAAUUUUAAAAUUUUAAAAAUCAUUUAAAUGGGUUAUCCGAACCCGAACCGAACCCGCAAAGAUCCGAACCGAACCCGAACCGAAAUUUAGAAAUACCCGAAUGGAGCUAAAAUCUUUAACCCCGAAAACCCGAAACCCGAAUAAACCCGAACCGAACCCGAAUGGGUACCCGAACGCCCACCCCUAUAAAAUACUAUUGUGUCAGGCAAAAUCUUACGAAGAGAUUUUGUAAUAUUUUAUUCUCUGCGUGCAAGAUUGUUCCAAGAUAUUACAAUACCAUUUAACUUUUAUUAUACUUUUUGAAUUCCAAAAUAGGUUCAUAUUUUUCUCUUUCAUCUCUCCAAAUAAACUCUCUGUUCCGUAAUUCUCUUUCUCUCCAAAGAACGUGCAACAGAAUCACAUUUCCUCUCUUCAGCUCCCAUCUAUGCAACUCGCCGGUCAGAUUCCUGAGUCUCUCAAGCUCUGUUGUAGUUUAAAAUCACUAAAUUCUUAGGAAAAGAUUUUUCCGGUACGACUCCUUCUCAAAUUUGCUUGUGACUUCCUGAUAAUAAAUUCUCUGGCUCGACCCUGCCACAGAUCGUUGAGUUUAAGUUCAAGAACGCUCUUGUUUUAGUGACGACAAGGUCUGAGGUUUGGUUCCUUCUGUAUUAAGCCGGUUAGAUCGUCUUUCUUUGGCUGGGAACAAUCUCUCUGGUACGAUUCUGUUCGAGCUGUCUCGUUUUGGAGAAGAUAAUUUUGUCGCAAAUAACGGUCUUGCGAUUAAAUUGCGGAGGAUGUUGGGUUUUGAUGGUGGUUAUGAUUAAAGUGCUUAUGGUGGAAGAAGCUGUUAGAUGUUACUCUUGUUGGAUAGACAUUUACAUUAUUGUCGAGACAAUACAAACUUUAACCAUAUAUUAUUUUACGUAGAUGUUAAAGACAGUUGAAAGAACCUGUACAUAGACGGAAAUCAUUUUAUUUACACGGGUUAUAAAUAAGUAAAUUGUAACGUAAGUUGUGUUAGACGGCUACAAUAAUUUUUGAUGCAUCGUCACAAACCAAAAAUAAUAGACAGUUAUAUAAUUUAUUAGUCAAGAUACUUAAUAUUUUAUCUCAAGUAACCCAUUUUCUAAAAAUGUAAGUAUUAUAUUAGCUGUCCAACAAUUUGAUAUGCACCAAUGAACAAACAUGCCUAAACAUUAUUUGUAUGUUCAUUUCAUAUGAUAUAGCUAUGAUCUUGAUUCUUAUGGUACCUAAGAAUGUGAUAUACAGAAUUCAAACAUGUUUUAUCCCAAAUAACUUGUUUGUUAACCAUGUAAAUAUUAUAUUAACCGUCUAAUAAUUUGAUGUUACCAAAAAAUCAGUUUUUACCCUAAGUUAACUCAUUUUCUAACCGUGUAUAUAUUAUAUUAAACGAUCUGACAUUUCCAACGAAUACAUAUACAUAAGCAUUAUUAACAUGUUCAUUCAAUAUGUCACAGCUAUGAUCUUGACUUCUUAAUCUUAUGAUAUCAAUUCUUGUUAGUAUGUUCAUUAUUCAUAUUUUUAUAUCUCUUUGGAAUUGAUCCUUGAGACUUGUUGUUAAACGUCAGGGUUGAAAAAACAAGAGAUCUGAUUUUUUGUCUGAUCACAUCUCCAUGUUUAGACAAAAAAAAACUCACUGGAUGAUAAACAAAAUCUCAGUGAAGACAAUGCGAGAGAGAUGAUUGUUUACCAAUGAGUUUGAAUAAGCAAGAUUAACAUAUAAAAUCACCAAUCGGCAAAAGGUGAUGAAGGGAGAUUAAAAUAAAAUUAGAGAAAUUAGGAGCUACACCAAAUAAGUUUGACAUAUUUAGUUAUCUGCCAAAUUGAACUGUUCGCGGAAUGAGUGUGAUGUUUUUGGACUCUUCUACCCCUACUCACACUGCCAUGUAAAAUACUAUGGCUGGGCAAAAAAUCCGAAUCCGAAGAACCGAACCGAACCCGAACCGAAAAUGUAGUACCGAAUCCGAACCGAAAUUGAUUAAAUAUCCGAACGGGUUCAAAAUUUUGGUAUCUAGAGAACCGAAACCGAACCCGACCCGAACCGAAGUAUUUCGGGUACCCGAAUGUAUCCGAAAUAGAUUUAUAUAUCUAAAUAUAUUAAUUAUUUUUAGAUUCAAUGUAUAUUAAAAACAUUCAAAAUAUAUAAGAUACUUUUAAGUUGUCUAAAAUACUUGAAAAUAUAUACAAAUAUUCAAAAGUAAAUUUCUAAAAUAGUAUAAAAUAUACUCAAAACACCAAAAAUAGUUGAAAUGUCUACUGAUUGUCUAUCAAAAUAUUCAAACAAACCAAUUUAUAUGUUAAGUUUAGGUACUCUGACAUAUGUUAUUCAAGUUUAUAUGUUAUAUAGUAUUUUAUUUACAGAUUUUGAGAAAUUGAAACUAUAUAUUGAAUUUUAAAAUUUUAAAAAUCAUUUAAAUGGGUUAUCCGAACCCGAACCGAACCCGCAAAGAUCCGAACCGAACCCGAACCGAAAUUUAGAAAUACCCGAAUGGAGCUAAAAUCUUUAACCCCGAAAACCCGAAACCCGAAUAAACCCGAACCGAACCCGAAUGGAUACCCGAACGCCCACCCCUAGUNNNNNNNNNNNNNNNNNNNNNNNNNNNNNNNNNNNNNNNNNNNNNNNNNNNNNNNNNNNNNNNNNNNNNNNNNNNNNNNNNNNNNNNNNNNNNNNNNNNNNNNNNNNNNNNNNNNNNNNNNNNNNNNNNNNNNNNNNNNNNNNNNNNNNNNNNNNNNNNNNNNNNNNNNNNNNNNNNNNNNNNNNNNNNNNNNNNNNNNNNNNNNNNNNNNNNNNNNNNNNNNNNNNNNNNNNNNNNNNNNNNNNNNNNNNNNNNNNNNNNNNNNNNNNNNNNNNNNNNNNNNNNNNNNNNNNNNNNNNNNNNNNNNNNNNNNNNNNNNNNNNNNNNNNNNNNNNNNNNNNNNNNNNNNNNNNNNNNNNNNNNNNNNNNNNNNNNNNNNNNNNNNNNNNNNNNNNNNNNNNNNNNNNNNNNNNNNNNNNNNNNNNNNNNNNNNNNNNNNNNNNNNNNNNNNNNNNNNNNNNNNNNNNNNNNNNNNNNNNNNNNNNNNNNNNNNNNNNNNNNNNNNNNNNNNNNNNNNNNNNNNNNNNNNNNNNNNNNNNNNNNNNNNNNNNNNNNNNNNNNNNNNNNNNNNNNNNNNNNNNNNNNNNNNNNNNNNNNNNNNNNNNNNNNNNNNNNNNNNNNNNNNNNNNNNNNNNNNNNNNNNNNNNNNNNNNNNNNNNNNNNNNNNNNNNNNNNNNNNNNNNNNNNNNNNNNNNNNNNNNNNNNNNNNNNNNNNNNNNNNNNNNNCCGAUCCGAAAAAGUAGUACCGAAUCCGAACCGAAAUUGAUUAAAUAUCCGAACGGGUUCAAAAUUUUGGUAUCCAGAGAACCGAAACCGAACCCGACCCGAACCGAAGUAUUUCGGGUACCCGAAUGUAUCCGAAAUAGAUUUAUAUAUCUAAAUAUAUUAAUUAUUUUUAGAUUCAAUGUAUAUUAAAAACAUUCAAAAUAUAUAAGAUACUUUUAAGUUGUCUAAAAUACUUGAAAAUAUAUACAAAUAUUCAAAAGUAAAUUUCUAAAAUAGUAUAAAAUAUACUCAAAACACCAAAAAUAGUUGAAAUGUCUACUGAUUGUCUAUCAAAAUAUUCAAACAAACCAAUUUAUAUGUUAAGUUUAGGUACUCUGACAUAUGUUAUUCAAGUUUAUAUGUUAUAUAGUAUUUUAUUUACAGAUUUUGAGAAAUUGAAACUAUAUAUUGAAUUUUAAAAUUUUAAAAAUCAUUUAAAUGGGUUAUCCGAACCCGAACCGAACCCGCAAAGAUCCGAACCGAACCCGAACCGAAAUUUAGAAAUACCCGAAUGGAGCUAAAAUCUUUAACCCCGAAAACCCGAAACCCGAAUAAACCCGAACCGAACCCGAAUGGGUACCCGAACGCCCACCCCUAUAAAAUACUAUUGUGUCAGGCAAAAUCUUACGAAGAGAUUUUGUAAUAUUUUAUUCUCUGCGUGCAAGAUUGUUCCAAGAUAUUACAAUACCAUUUAACUUUUAUUAUACUUUUUGAAUUCCAAAAUAGGUUCAUAUUUUUCUCUUUCAUCUCUCCAAAUAAACUCUCUGUUCCGUAAUUCUCUUUCUCUCCAAAGAACGUGCAACAGAAUCACAUUUCCUCUCUUCAGCUCCCAUCUAUGCAACUCGCCGGUCAGAUUCCUGAGUCUCUCAAGCUCUGUUGUAGUUUAAAAUCACUAAAUUCUUAGGAAAAGAUUUUUCCGGUACGACUCCUUCUCAAAUUUGCUUGUGACUUCCUGAUAAUAAAUUCUCUGGCUCGACCCUGCCACAGAUCGUUGAGUUUAAGUUCAAGAACGCUCUUGUUUUAGUGACGACAAGGUCUGAGGUUUGGUUCCUUCUGUAUUAAGCCGGUUAGAUCGUCUUUCUUUGGCUGGGAACAAUCUCUCUGGUACGAUUCUGUUCGAGCUGUCUCGUUUUGGAGAAGAUAAUUUUGUCGCAAAUAACGGUCUUGCGAUUAAAUUGCGGAGGAUGUUGGGUUUUGAUGGUGGUUAUGAUUAAAGUGCUUAUGGUGGAAGAAGCUGUUAGAUGUUAUUCUUGUUGGAUAGACAUUUACAUUAUUGUCGAGACAAUACAAACUUUAACCAGAUAUUAUUUUACGUAGAUGUUAAAGACAGUUGAAAGAACCUGUACAUAGACGGAAAUCAUUUUAUUUACACGGGUUAUAAAUAAGUAAAUUGUAACGUAAGUUGUGUUAGACGGCUACAAUAAUUUUUGAUGCAUCGUCACAAACCAAAAAUAAUAGACAGUUAUAUAAUUUAUUAGUCAAGAUACUUAAUAUUUUAUCUCAAGUAACCCAUUUUCUAAAAAUGUAAGUAUUAUAUUAGCUGUCCAACAAUUUGAUAUGCACCAAUGAACAAAUAUGCCUAAACAUUAUUUGUAUGUUCAUUUCAUAUGAUAUAGCUAUGAUCUUGAUUCUUAUGGUACCUAAGAAUGUGAUAUACAUAAUUCAAACAUGUUUUAUCCCAAAUAACUUGUUUGUUAACCAUGUAAAUAUUAUAUUAACCGUCUAAUAAUUUGAUGUUACCAACAUUACACUAAGUUAACUCAUUUUCUAACCGUGUAUAUAUUAUAUUAAACGAUCUGACAUUUCCAACGAAUACAUAUACAUAAGCAUUAUUAACAUGUUCAUUCAAUAUGUCACAGCUAUGAUCUUGACUUCUUAAUCUUAUGAUAUCAAUUCUUGUUAGUAUGUUCAUUAUUCAUAUUUUUAUAUCUCUUUGGAAUUGAUCCUUGAGACUUGUUGUUAAACGUCUAACCUUUUUUAGUGAUAUCUAACAUUAUUUUUAGCUGAGCUAUGAAGGUUUUAUCCGGAUACCUACAUUUUCAAGCAUUUGUGUUUUUUUAUUGAAGCUAAUAAUAUGUUUGAAAAGAUACGUAAAAAUUUAGCCGGUUACACACCAUCAUUUAGACUACCCAUCUUUGUAUAUGAUAUCAUUAAUAGUUUAAAACUACAAGUGAAUAUCCGGCUACAGCAAUGUGUUCUUAUAUAAAUAUAAAAUUAGCCGUCCACUGCGUAAGUAGUAUAAAAUUAGCCUUCCACCGUAGCCAUCCAUCUUUAUAAAAACAAGUAAAUAACGUGUUAUCAAUUUAAAUAUAAAAUUAGCCGUCUACUCUUUGCUAUAGCCAUUCCUGUAAAUAUUUUCACAAUACAUAAUCCAAACAGAUCUCGAAUUGUAACAACCAUUAAAACAAACAAUUCAAAUCAUUGAAUAAGUACUAGAAACUACAAGAUUAAGUAUGUAAUAAAAAUCUCUUCACAAUGGAUAAAUGAAGAAUCGGUGAAGGAAAAAUAAAUCUGCAACAACAAGAUGGAAAACAUCAUUGGUAGCUUAAUAUCAUUAAUGGAGGAAAGAAGACAAAUCUUCCCAUGAAGUUUAAAACAUUGAAUAUUCUGAACCCUCCGAUGUACCACCUCCCGCUGAUAAACAUGUGUGGCAGCUUUAACGUUUGCGCGUGUCUUUGCUUCUUCUGUGCCAAAAAUUUGCUCCAACUCCAUCUUCAAAGACCCAUCAUUUGAAAGACUUAAUCCUCGAUUCACGCUAGGAAGCUACGAGAUCGUUGUGACAACUCGUCAUUGCCAUGUCUAUCUCAGUCGCAAAGUAUUCCUUCACCAUCUUGGACAAAAUCUUUGUAGGAAAAGAAAAGAUGGUGGGGAAGAAAUAAAAAAAAAGCUCCUUUUUUUUACAUUCUCUCUCUCUUUCCAGAGAUCUAAUAAAAUCUUUCACGUAUCUUUUCAAAUCUUUUUGAUAUUUUACAGAAUCUAUAUGUCAGCUAAUAUCGUACAAUAGGAAUUGAGUUGAAAGUCGAACAGUCUACGGGUGAAGGGCUGAAGUCGUCAUUUCGCAACUAUCUUACCUAUAAUGAAACCUAACUUAUACUGUUAUUGGCAUUUACUUAAUUUCAUAGUUUUUUAUGGGUUUUGAGCAAAUUAGAAAAAAACACACGCAAAGAGGGAAAGAGAAAAAAAAAAUUAAAAACCAAAAUAUAAAAAGAAAACAAUUUUGUUUCUGAAAGGAUCGAGGGAAUGAGCUAUUCUGUUUUUUUCCCGCCGAUAAGCCCCAGAUUUUUUUUUUUGAUUACCAGAAAAUUUUUUUUUCCCAUUUACAAUUUGUAUUUGUAUUUUUAAUAUGUUUUUAUGUCAUUUUUAUUAAUAUUUUAAUGUAUGAUUUUUUUAAUGUUAUGAUAUCCAAUUAUUCAACUUAAUAAAAAUCUUUUAAUGUUAUGAUAUCCAAUCAUUCAACUUAGAAAAAAAAUCCUUUAAUGUUAUGAUAUCCAAUCAUUUAAUUUUUUUAAAAAAAAUCUUUAUUGUUAUGAUAUCCAAUCAUUCAAAAUUCCUUUAAUGUUAUGAUAUCCAAUCAUUCUAACUUAAAAAAAAAUAAUUAAUUCUUUAAUGUUAUGAUAUCCAAUCAUUCAACUUAAAAAAAAAAAAAGUUUAAGAACCCUUAUAAGGUUCUCCUAUUGGUGGAAGAAAAAAUUAAUUACACUAAUACAGGUUAUUAACUUCUCAAAUCACCAAAUUAAUUACUAAUCUAUUCAUAAGAGUCCAUUAGGGUCUCUUACCAAUGGACUUGCUCUUAUAUCUUUUAUUUAAGAGACGGUUCUUAGUUUUUUUUAGUUAAAAUCUAAAAAAAAUUAAGAACCGUCUUUUAACCGAAGUUAAAAACUCCAGUUAAAAGACUGAGGUUAAUCAUUGUCUUAGAAGCUAAAUUAGAUUUGUUUAUUAAUAAAUUGUUCAGAUCCAUGAAUUUUGUAAAUGGCGACGUGCAACUCGGUAAAUCCAUUUCACUGCAUAAGAAUUUGGAUGACAGAAAUUAUGGGUAUGCCUAAUUGUGGGCAGUUGGUGCCAGGGUCCCUGUAUUGAUGGUGCAGACCUAACAAAUACAAAAGGUGUACGUGACCUUGAUAAUCAUCACAAACCUUGCUGACAACCAAAUAAUUCUCUUUUGUCGUUCUUACUUGUUUGUGCAAGAUGACUCAGCUGAGCCACACGAUUGUCUGAUUUCUCUGUUUGAUUGAGCGAAAAGCUUAAAUGUUGGCAAUUUCAUUUUAAAAAAAGAAAAAGACAAAAAUAGCACUAAAUCAAGUUUUUGUUCCCAAACUACCACUCAAGAUCAAACGUCACAAAAAUAGCACUUAAUGUUUUAUCAAAAGUCACAAACUUAGGGUUUAGAGUUAAAGGGUGAAGUUUAGGAUUUAGGGUUUAGGUUUUAGAGUUUAGGGUUUAGGGUUUAGGGCUUAGAGUUUAGGGUUUAGGGUUUAGAGUUUAGGGUUUAGGGUUUAGGGUUUAGAGUUGAGAAAUGAGGUUUUGGGAUAAGAUUUCAAAUUUUGAAAAAUAAAAAAAUUAAAAUUUUCAAAAGAUAAAUUGCUAUUUUGGUCAUUUUAGUUUUUGAGUGCUAUUUUUGUGAUAUAAACUUAGAAAUGUGCUAUUUUGGAGAUUUGUCCUUUUAAGAAGCUUAAAACGAUUGCUAACACGAUUUAUCAUAAAAAUUAUAAUUAAAAAUGUAAAUGCAUAAUUAUUAUUUAAACAUAAUUGAAAUUUUCCAAAUGUAAAUAAAAUGGCAUGUUCUUAAUUUAUAUGUACAACUAAUACAGAUGGUUGUCCAAUAAAAAGAAGAAGUUAAUGCCUAAAUGGUUAGAAAAAACUAUAAAGAUAACUCUUUCAUCGUGAUUUAAUCAACCGUGAUAAAUAUUCUCCACCACUGAAACAAAACCUGAAUAAGAGUAGAACACAUCAUUUGUAAAAGAACUUAAGACACAAAAUCUUAUAUCCAACUGAAAAUAAUAUCCGUACAAUUGUAUGAGUCAAAUUCUACUUCUAUUGAUGUAUGUUAUAUAUUAGUGCUGCAUCUUUUAGGUAACAUUUUAAUGAUGCACGUUUUUAAAAUCUCACGUCACUUACCUACCAACAUAUAGUAAUCACAACUUCAACAUAAAAACGUUGCACAGAUGUAUAUAUAUAUAUAUAUAUAUAUAACUAUUCUAAUCCUCCCCACCACAUCUAGAAGAGAGUAUUAUCAACAACAAUAUCAUAAAAACUCAGGGAAGAACAGAGAAAAAAGAUUGAAGAAAAUGGGAGAAGAAGCCAUAGCAAACGUGUUAGUCUUCUCGUUAAUAUGAAGUUUAAAUUCAUUUAAGCAUAUUUCAUUAAUUUAACCGAAAAGAUAAGUAAUAAAUUAAAUAGUUUUAUUCGUUUUAGGAUAUUUCAUAAAUGCAACUGAAAAAGACAAGAAAAAAAAAUAGGAAAUUUAAUUAAUGAAGUACGAACAUUUUCAAAUGGGUAUUUCUCUUUUAAUAAUAUAGAAGUACAUUAUCAUAAUUGUAAAAUGAGCAAAAAAUAAUAUAUAUAUAUAUAGUGUUUAUUAUAUGAACACUUUAUCCGACUCGUGUACGCCUUGGAUUCUCGACGUUUGCCGGAAAUAUCCGGGCGUCGCUGCGGCCUCAUUUUUCACUCAGUGCUCUACCGUGAAUGCCAUAUACAUCCAUUUCUUGCGUGGAGAGUUUAAGGAGUUUCAAGACGACGUCGUCUUGCCUGCGAUGCCUCCGUUGAAAGGUGGUGACCUGCCGGUGUUUCUGUACGACAAUAAUCUUUGCCGGCCGUUGUUUGAGCUCAUUAGUAGCCAGUUUGUGAAUGUUGACGACAUUGACUUCUUCUUGGUUAACUCUUUCGAAGAACUCGAAGUUGAGGU